AACGAACGCUGGCGGCAUGCCUAACACAUGCAAGUCGAACGAGACCUUCGGGUCUAGUGGCGCACGGGUGCGUAACGCGUGGGAACCUGCCCUUAGGUUCGGAAUAACUCCCCGAAAGGGGUGCUAAUACCGGAUAAUGUCUUCGGACCAAAGGUUUAUCGCCUUUGGAUGGGCCCGCGUUGGAUUAGCUAGUUGGUAGGGUAAAAGCCUACCAAGGCGACGAUCCAUAGCUGGUCUGAGAGGAUGAUCAGCCACACUGGGACUGAGACACGGCCCAGACUCCUACGGGAGGCAGCAGUGGGGAAUAUUGUACAAUGGGCGAAAGCCUGAUCCAGCAAUGCCGCGUGAGUGAUGAAGGCCUUAGGGUUGUAAAGCUCUUUUACCCGGGAUGAUAAUGACAGUACCGGGAGAAUAAGCUCCGGCUAACUCCGUG
rnacentral:rRNA from 1 species